CUCCAUAGGGGAAAGUCAGCCCACCUCCAGCAAAUGGACUCUCCAAGAUAUGGGGCAACUCAGCCCAGUGGAGCAGUGCCUGAGCAGUUCUCUUCUCACCACUCUGGCUAAUGGGCACCCAAAGCUCCACUGCAGGCACUGACACCGCAAAGCGCCUGGCACCAGUGCACUUGAGGUGCAGACACUGAACUCAACUGGCAGAGAACACCCAGGCGAAGAGCAGAGAUCUCUGCUAAAGGGCCUGAGGUGCUGGGGAGAAGAGCUUUGGAAGAAGGGGCCUCUCCUGACAUCCCCACAAGCCUCGCUACCACCAGCUGCCAAACUAAAGCAGGAAGAAAACGCCAAGCACCAUAGAUCAUGAACAAGUGUCACAUCUGGUGUCAGAACUCCUCAAUCAGUGGGCAUAUUACAUGGGAUAAGUAAUUGCUCCAAUGCUGGAAUGCACAAUCAUGUGACAGCACCAUUAAGGAAGCCCUUGGGAGAUCUCUAUCACAAGAGUGAGCCUUUCUCACUGGGCUGUAAUUAAUGGCUCUCUGCUUCCAGAGCAGCACUUUAACAUGUGGCAGCACACACGGAGCAGCCUGGACCUGGCUCCAGUGCCCACCUUCAUGCAGUUUCUGUACCAUUACCCAGGCUUGUCCUCCCUCCUUCUACAGAGAGGGGAAAUUUCAGUUUCCAGAAUGGCAGGAUACAUGGCCCUAACAUGUGCUCCAGGCACCAUGGACCAGAGGAUGCUCACUGAAGGCAACGCAGGCCUGACAGGAGGAUGCAGCCACAGCUUUGGUCCAGCAAUGAGAACUACAAAUCCAGCUCAGACCAGCACCUGAGACAGGCCAAGGGCAAAACAGAACACAGCACACAGGAGCCUAAUCUGAGCUGGAGACUCAGCAGGCAUCAUGUGGGAAUGAGGCCCUGGCUGGCAUCUCUAUAAUGGAAUGGAACAGAAUGAAAGGAGCAGCUCCAUAGCCAGAGCUAACAGUCCUACUCAGGCCAACUCAAAACAGCCAUUCCCUCUUCACUGCACAGAGAUCACCACUGCUCUCCCAUGCUGCUCUGAGUCCAUAAGAGGCAAUUUCAGGUGCUCAGCUGAUGCCUCCUGUCCAUGCUCCUGCUGUCACGAUGUGCAUGGCUCGCUGCACCAUCCCCUUGCGCCUGCACACCCGGUAAUUAAAACCUUCAUUAGCCUUCCACUCAUUAGCUAAGUUUGCUGGUCAUCCUUGUUGGCUUUCCUUGGUGACGUCUCUGGCAUCU
rnacentral:lncRNA from 14 species